CCAAACACUUACGAUAAAAACCCUUUCUCUCAUUCUUCUUCACAGUCGGCAGAAGAAGAAGCGAAAGCCCUACCCCCGCAGCAGAGAAGCCCAUCUCUUGCAAGUCUCAAUUUCACUCCCAAGAAUCCAAACUUCAAAUUUCAAGCUAUAUUAGAUGGAAGAAGAAGAUAUGAAUGGUGGAUGUGUUAUGGUAGCAGUGCACCAAAUCUACGAACACUUGCAAUUCGAGUAUUAAAUCAAACAUGUAGUUCUUUAGGUUACGAGAGAAAUUGGAGUAUGUUUGAACAUAUUCAUUCUAAAAAGAGAAAUAGACUCGAGCAUCAAAGACUUAAUGAUCUUGUUUAUGUUCACUACAAUUUACGAUUGCAACAACGGAAUUAUUUCAAAAGUCAAAAUUAUGAUCCUAUUGACUUUGAAAGGUUUAGCAUUUACGACAAUUGGUUGUUAGAGGAUGAGCCACCGAAUUUGGUAGAUGAUGAAUUGCAGAAAUUUUGUCGUGAUUCAGGUGCAUGCUCUAUACAAAAUAAUAAAAUUGAUGGUAAUUGUUUGACUGAUGCUAUUGUUUCUUCUUCUUCUUCUCUUUUUAAAGUACAUCUACUGUAAUGUUUAAAUUUAAUACUCUUUUCCGAUGAAUUACAUUUUGAUGAUCUUGAUUUGGAUUGUGAUGGAAAUGAUGGCAACGGAAUUGAUAAUAGAAGUGAUACAAACAAUGGAAAUGAGGAUUUUAGUAUGACUGAGACUCCAUCACUGGCACAAGGCGAAGGAAUUGAAGAAUUUAUGUCCAAGACCCCAGCAUGGAGGAGCUCAAACUCCUCUUAAUUGAGAAGAAAUUGAUUUAUUUCAAAUAAUUUACUUUGUUACCACGUUCUUUACUCCACGUUCAACUUAUAAUUGCUAGUCUUACUUUUGCAAUAAUAUUUUUAAAGUAUAUGAAGCUAUGUUGCCGAACUUUUCCA